CCUACGGGAGGCAGCAGUAGGGAAUAUUGCUCAAUGGGGGAAACCCUGAAGCAGCAACGCCGCGUGGAUGAUGAAGGAUUUCGGUUUGUAAACUCCUUUUGUCAGAGAAGAUUAAGACGGUUUCCAGCGAAUAAGCACCGGCUAACUACGUGCCAGCAGCCCCGGUAAUACGGAGGGGGCAAGCGUUCCUCGGAAUCACUGGGCGUAAAGAGUGCGUAGGCGGGGUAAUAAAUCAGAUGUGAAAUCCUGUAGCUUAACUACAGAACUGCAUUUGAAACUGUUACUAUGGAGUGUGGGAGAGGUAGGUGGAAUUCUUGGUGUAGGGGUAAAAUCCGUAGAGAUCAAGAGGAAUACUCAUUGCGAAGGCGACCUGCUGGAACAUUACUGACGCUGAUGCACGAAAGCGUGGGGAGCAAACAGGAUUAGAUACCCGGGUAGUC
rnacentral:rRNA from 1 species